GAUGAACGCUGGCGGCGUGCUUAACACAUGCAAGUCGAACGUGAGAGGUAGCAAUAUCUUGAAAGUGGCGAACGGGUGAGUAACACGUAGGUGACCUGCCUCGGAGCGGGGGAUAACAGUUAGAAAUGACUGCUAAUACCGCAUGAAUCCACUGGGAUGGGAAGAAUGGUGGAGAAAACUCUGGUGCUUCGAGAGGGGCCUGCGGUCGAUUAGCUAGUUGGUGGGGUAAAGGCCUACCAAGGCGACGAUCGAUAGCUGGUCUGAGAGGACGAUCAGCCACACGGGAACUGAGACACGGUCCCGACUCCUACGGGGGCAGCAGUGAGGAAUAUUGGGCAAUGGGCGGAAGCCUGACCCAGCAACGCCGCGUGGAGGAAUGAAGGCC
rnacentral:rRNA from 1 species